rnacentral:rRNA from 1 species
GAUGAACGCUGGCGGCGUGCCUAAUACAUGCAAGUCGAGCGAACAGACGAGGAGCUUGCUCCUUUGACGUUAGCGGCGGACGGGUGAGUAACACGUGGAUAACCUACCUAUAAGACUGGGAUAACUUCGGGAAACCGGAGCUAAUACCGGAUAAUAUAUUGAACCGCAUGGUUCAAUAGUGAAAGACGGUUUUGCUGUCACUUAUAGAUGGAUCCGCGCCGCAUUAGCUAGUUGGUAAGGUAACGGCUUACCAAGGCAACGAUGCGUAGCCGACCUGAGAGGGUGAUCGGCCACACUGGAACUGAGACACGGUCCAGACGCCUACGGGAGGCAGCAGUAGGGAAUCUUCCGCAAUGGGCGAAAGCCUGAAGGAGCAACGCCGCGUGAGUGAUGAAGGUCUUCGGAUCGUAAAACUCUGUUAUUAGGGAAGAACAAAUGUGUAAGUAACUAUGCACGUCUUGACGGUACCGAAUCAGAAAGCCACGGCUAACUACGUG